AUCAUGGCUCAGGACGAACGCUGGCGGCGUGCCUAAUACAUGCAAGUAGAACGCUGAAGGAGGAGCUUGCUUCUCUGGAUGAGUUGCGAACGGGUGAGUAACGCGUAGGUAACCUGCCUGGUAGCGGGGGGAGUAACUAUUGGAAACGAUAGCUAAUACCGCAUAAGAGUAGAUAUUGCAUGAUAUUUACUUAAAAGGUAGCAAAUAGCAUCACUACCAGAUGG
rnacentral:rRNA from 1 species